ACGAACAUAAACUUCCUUUUUGCAACCGGGUUCGAGUGAAAAACUGAAAUUUGAUUUGUCAGAUGCUUACGGCAAAAAUUCAUCACAGGUGGCAUAAAAUAGGAAAGGUCAGAAAAGUAUCAGGAUGCUGAGUAGAAGCAACAUAGACGAAGCAAAUAGGCAUCUGUUUGCCAUGCAUCAACAAAUUCAGUCAUUAGAGGGAAUUGUUCAACAGCAGAAUCAGCAAUUGAUGGACCGAGACCAGCAACUUGCACAACUAGAACAGAACAAAAAUCAAGAAAUUCAGACACUGAAAAAUCAAGUUCGGGAGCUAAAAGAGGAGGCUGAGGUGCGUGACUCGACAAUUCAGGAUCUGAAGGAGAGCAUGAGUCACCUUCAGUCUGUCUUACAAUUCUUACCGUGUAUUAGGGGACUGUUAAAUGAGAUGGAAAACUCGGCAGCAAAAACUUCUCAGGAGAAAGUUGUAAAUAACCACCCAAUUGAUCACAAUGUUGAAGGAAUUGUGAAUCACAGCAAGAGUUUGUCUUCAGGGAAUGAGGAGGACAAGGAAUUUUAUUUUUGACCAUUGGAUGUGUCAUAGCACAUCUUGAAUUUAACAUUUAUAAGUUUAUUUGAGGGUGUCAUAUCCAACAAUAUAACACAUAUAUUUAUUAGCAAAGUUUUUUAUUUACUGUUGUAGAAAUCUCAAGUAUUAUGAUUGUUAUAUUCCUGACAAAGUUUUGUCGUGACCUACACAAUAUGCAUUUGACACUGCUGAAUUGAUAUAUCUAUAUACUUGCAAUAAUUUUCUUCAUUACAAGGGCAAUACCAACUUCGUUUCUCUGAAGAUAAAUUUGUUUUGAGGUAAUUAUUUUUUUUGACAAAAUUUAAUACUUGAUGCUUAGAUGUAAUAUUGUUUUUAUUUCACAAUGGAUGCCUUCUUUCAUCGGGCUGAACUAAAGUUUAUUUGACGGAAAUGAAAUUACAGGAAGAAAACCAAAAAAAGUUUCACAUUUUUUUUUCCCAAUGUCUAUUCUCAGAGGUGCCAUCAAAAAAUUCAUCAUCAUCUUUUAAUUCAUAUCUAACAGUUUUUCAAAUUUAUCAGCCAUAUUAUCAUCCACCACUCCAGAGUCUCCGAUAAAGCUAUCAGGACUGACCAGCCAUUUGACAUUUACCUUAUUUUGUUCUCAAUGUGGAGUAAACACUUGAUUUAUUUCAACAUUUAAAAACUUUUUAGGUAUGGUCACUGGACAGUUUGACCAAUUUGCUAUGAGACUAACUGCAAUAAUGUAGCCUUAUCCAAUUUUUUUUUAUUCUGGCAUUUUUGGGAUUUCUCCAAAAACAAAAAAAAACUAAAACAAAAAAUCAGAGAGGGCUACAUUAUUGCAGCUAAACCGAACCAAUCACAUUUGUUGGUUUUGUCAGAUGGUCCAAUGUCUUUGGCGUUCACUGGUUUCAAAUGGUAUUGCACAUUGUUGAAUGAACAAUUGAAAAUUGACAAUCCUGCUUGCCAUUAGAUCAUGAUCCACUUGCAUCAUCAAAAAUACCUCAUUCAUAUUGAUGCAAGGAUGAUAUUAUGUAUGAGAUGAAGUUGGCUCUUUAGAAGAGGCUUGAAAAAUUAACUUAGUGUCUAUUUUUGUGGAUUGAUCAGUCGAUCCAUUUUCAGAGCAAUAAAAUUUUACUGUAUGAAUAAAUUAGUAAAUGAGUGCAUAACAUUUUCAUCAUUUCAUGAACAGAGGUAAAUAUUUACAUUUUCAUUGUUUUUGCCUUUGAUAUCUUUACAAAUUGUACUGACUACUGAUAGUCAUUUCCUCAUGAAUGUGUUGUAGUUGUGAACGAAACGCAGAUGAGUUUAGUACAUCUAUGUUAACGGCUGGGAAUUCCAACUGAAAUGGAAGUAAAAUGUCAAUAGAAAUAAUAGAUUUCAUUUUUGAAAAUACAUAGGGGUAUGUACUACAUGCUAGUAUACUUUUCUUGAAGCACUGUCGUGCUUCAUUAUGUAUGCAGACUUGAAGCAUUGUGCAGUUCAUACCCUCAUGUACAUGUAUUUUCAAAAAAAAAAAUUCUGAAAUUAUUAUAGGAUUAAACAUUCUUUUUGAAGAAUUUAUCAAUGUGUAAACUCCGGACAUUUACUCACAAACUGAAUAAAAGUGCAAAGCACUUUUAUGUUAAGUUUGUGAGUAAAAUGUCCGGACUUUACACAUUGAUAAAUUCUUCAAAAAGAAUGUUUGAUUCUUAUAAUUCCAAUUCAUUCACUUUAUUAACGACUGCAAAAAUUUGAAUAGUUUCCCCGCACUAUGUUAUUUGUUUUCAGGCGUGUAUGAAUACAUCACGUUUUCAGAUUUAUUGAUGUAUAAACUCUUGUUCAGCUUUAUUUUUGUCCAAUCAAAACAAUUGUAAUAAAUAACAUUGGAAUUAUUGCAUAAUAUUGCCCAGAUUCAUUUAUUUUGAGAGUAUUUGAAGGAUACCUGUAGUUAUGUGACUAUGUUGUUUUGUAUUUACUAACAUUGAUUAUUUAAUAUAUAUACUUAUAUACAUAAAUUAUAAGAAUCUCUGAUGGGGAACUUUUCACUGUUGGCUUGUUGUGACAUUUUUAAUAUCAAUCCUGUGAUGGUUUAAAGAAACAUUCCAAUUUCUGGUAUUUUAUACUCGGUGUAUAUGUAUAGAUAAAUAAAUAUGUAUAGAUAUGUGUGUACAGAUCAGCUUAUGAGGUAUUAAUUGAAAUAUGCAAAUUUGACAGCAUUCUGUAAUUUGCUGUCCUCAGAAAACCAGUUCUGUUUUCUUGUUAUGUAUGAACAGCAUAUCAGCAAUAAACUAAUGUACAUCUCUUGUUAUCCGGUGAGAGAAUGUCCCUUUAUGGAUCCUCCAACUUCAAAUUUUUUAAUUCAUCAAAAUUAUAUGCUUCUUAAAUAUCCUAUAGACUUUUGAUGAAUUAAUUAGCACAGAACAAGACCCAGAGUUAAUACUCCCUUCUGGUUUUUUAUUGUUGUUUUUUUUCCUGGUGGUAAGGGGAUAUGUAAAACCAAAAACGCUAAAUUUCUCUCACCUUGGUAAGAAAUAAGCAUGUUUGUCUGUCUAUACCUUUACUUAUACUUUUGAGAAAACUUUUGGAAAGACUGUGAUGGAUUUUAUCUGUUGCCAGAAGUGAUUACUAAAAUCUUAGAAAGGUGUUUGUUCAUCUUUACAUUAUUGUUGUAUACUAUUUUGAUUAUAUCUCAAUCACAAUGGAACACAAUGUAAUUUAUUUGUUGUUUUAUUUUUAAUUAUCAUAAAUGCAUUUUAUUAAAGUGAAAAUUCU